GUUUAACAUGAUGGACUAUAGGACAGGACUGCUGCUUUUAACUAUCUGCUGGGCAGGUGUUGAUGGUCAGACUCUGACAGAAUCUGAACCAGCGAUUAAAAGGCCUGGAGAAUCUCACAAAUUGACCUGUACAACUUCUGGAUUGUCACUCAGCAGCAACUACAUGGCUUGGAUCAGACAGGCUCCUGGAAAAGGACUGGAGUGGAUUGCUUAUAUCAGUAGUGGUGGUAGCACUUACUACUCUCAGUCAGUUCAAGGCCGGUUUACCAUCUCCAAAGACAACAGCAGACAGCAGGUGUAUCUGCAGAUGAACAGUCUGAAGACUGAAGAUUCUGCUGUUUAUUAUUGUGCUCGAGAGCCA